CACCCGAAGUCGGUGAGGUAACCGCAAGGAGCCAGCCGCCGAAGGUGGGGUAGAUGAUUGGGGUGAAGUCGUAACAAGGUAGCCGUAUCGGAAGGUGCGGCUGGAUCACCUCCUUU
rnacentral:rRNA from 1 species